rnacentral:rRNA from 1 species
UCGAGAAUUAUUCGCAAUGAGCGCAAGCUUGACGAUGCGACGCCGCGUGAGCGAUGAAGGCCUGCGGGUUGUAAAGCUCUUUCAGCUGGAAACAAGAGAGCAGGGUUAAUAACCCAUGCUCUUUGAGCUAUACAGAAAAAGAAGUACCGGCUAACUCCGUGCCAGCAGCUGCGGUAAUACGGAGGGUACAAGCAUUAAUCGGAUUUAUUGGGCGUAAAGGGCGCGUAGGCGGAAGAUUUAAGUCAUCUGUGAAAGCAAAGAGCUCAACUCUUUAUCCGCAGGUGAAACUAUUCAUCUCGAGUACGAACGGAGAAAACAGAAUUCUGCAUGGAGCAGUGAAAUGCAUAGAUAUGCAGAGGAAUACCUUGGGCGAAAGCGGUUUUCUAGUUCGUUACUGACGCUAAGGCGCGAAGGCAAGGGGAGCAAACAGGAUUAGAUACCCCCGUAGUCC